GAUGAACGCUAGCGGCAGGCUUAAUACAUGCAAGUCGAGGGGCAGCGCGAGUAGCAAUACUUGGCGGCGACCGGCGCACGGGUGCGUAACACGUAUACAAUCUACCUUUAACUGGGGAAUAGCCCCGAGAAAUCGGGAUUAAUACCCCAUAACAUUGCGAGGAGGCAUCUUCUUGCAAUUAAAGCUACGACGGUUAAAGAUGAGUAUGCGCGACAUUAGUUUGUUGGUGAGGUAACGGCUCACCAAGACUACUAUGUCUAGUGGUUCUGAGAGGAUUAACCACCAUACUAGUACUGAGACACGGAUCGAACUCCGACGGGAGGCAGCAGUAGGGAAUAUUGGGCAAUGGACGCAAGUCUGACCCAGCCAUGCCGCGUGAAGGAUUGACAGCCCUCGUGUUUGUAAACUUCUUUUGUACGGGAAAAAACCCCUGAUCGUGUAUCAGGGCUGAUGGUACCGUAAGAAUAAGGAACGGCUAACUCCGUGCCAGCCGCCGCAGUAAUAC
rnacentral:rRNA from 1 species